CCGCGGCGAGGACCCGGGCGAGCCUCGGAGGCGGGGUGGAACUUCGAGGCCGGAAGUUGUCUAUGCUUGAGACGCUGGUGGCCGGCGAGCUUGCUGCGUCCCGGAGGCGAGGCGGAGUGCGCGGUCCCGGGAUGUGGGUCCCUUCGCCCCAGACUAUGACAGAGGCUCCAUUCUCACCCGAGUACUACCUGGGUACCAGGUUGCUGAUGUUUGUUGGAUCCUUCAGUUGACCAAGCACUCGGGAAAGCGAGCGCGGAGAGACUCUUCGCCUUCGCUUCUCAGCUCUUCAGUAUGAAAACAAAGUUUGGACCAAGAAAUACAGAGAUGAGUGAAGGAACUGGAGAGAGAGCUCAUCAAUUAAGAGCCCUUGCUGGCAAAGUUUGGUUCUAGUCUCCACGGGGAGGGAAGGGGGGCGACGGGUAGAGCAGCCAGGAACUCUAAGUUCCAGGGAACCUGACACCCUCUUCUGGCCUUGGUUGGCAUCUACACUCAGGUUCACAUACUCACACUCAGAAACAUAAUUAAAAAUCCUUAUGCCCCGA